UACGUAGGGGGCAAGCGUUGUCCGGAUUUAUUGGGCGUAAAGGGCUCGUAGGCGGUCUGUCACGUCGGGAGUGAAAACACGGGGCUUAACCCCGUGCCUGCUUCCGAUACGGGCAGACUAGAGGUAUGCAGGGGAGAACGGAAUUCCUGGUGUAGCGGUGAAAUGCGCAGAUAUCAGGAGGAACACCGGUGGCGAAGGCGGUUCUCUGGGCAUUACCUGACGCUGAGGAGCGAAAGUGUGGGGAGCGAACAGG
rnacentral:rRNA from 1 species